GCACCCAUCGUUCAAUGGAUAGGACAGCGGUCUUCUAAACCGCCAAUCUCAGUUCGAAUCUGAGUGGGUGUA
rnacentral:tRNA from 1 species